UUGCGUCGCGCGGAGUGACACGAAUCGGGUAGAGCGUGCUUAGAGGUGCCUGGCGGUACUGUGGAAUCAGCGUAAACAAACGACAAAUGCAGUAAACCCUCCGAGACGGCCACAUCUCGGAACCGCUUGCCGUUAAAAGGGUGGACCACUGCAACAGCCAGUUGAAGGCAAAGUGACGUCACCCUCUUGGUGGAGGCCAUCGCCAUGCUACAAACACAAGUAUGGGUCAAGGAGAAGCACAUUGGAGCACCCAAUGUGGGGCGAGAGGUGGAGCCCAGCCUCUGGACUGGUCUUCCAUCAAUAGGAUUGACACAGAAGAAAGACACGAUAGAUCACGCUUAUAUUUACAUUCUUUUUUUUUCCCAGACAAUAAUUGAAUAGGCAGUGAAGUUAAAUGUACACAUUUUCACUAGCAUCAAAGCCCAGUCUUCGAAGACGCUAAUAUACAGUCGAUGUAAAAAAAAAAAAUGUACACGCCUCCGUUCUAAUGCCAGGUUUUGGUAGUAGAAAAGAAAUGAAAUCAAGAAAAAUUAAAUACGUUUUCUACCA